rnacentral:lncRNA from 1 species
CAUCAUUUGCCAAAACAAUAUCCAAAAAAUCUGGAUUCCCUUUACGUUCAUGAGCACAAUUCACAUGAUCUUCAAUCAACUUGGUCAAAAACUCAUCAAACCUCUUAUGCAAUCGUUUCAUCUUACCCACUACACCUUCCAAAUCAAUCCAACCAAUGAAAGGUACAAAAUCACCAAUGUUGAUUCCAGAUAUUGUCAUGAACUCCACAACCAUUUCCUUAAACUCCUUUGACUCUUGCCCUUUACUUGCAAACAUACGUUUGCUUAGUACAACUUGGCUCACCAUGUUUGUUAUUGCACAACUCAACAAACCACCAACCUCAAUCGAUUCGCCUUUUUUCCCAGACUCAUGAAUGGAUCUCACCAUGUGUUUCACCUCAUUUUCUCUCACAUUAGCCCAAUUUUGAAGUGCUUUCCCACCAAGCAUGUGUAAGGUUGUUAAUUUCCUAAGUAGUUUCCAUUUAGGUCCAUAUUUUGCAAAAACAAGGUCUUGUGAAUUGUAACCUAAAUAAGUUGCACCAAUAAUGGUAGGCCUAUUUAGGAAAUUAUGGUCUAAAGUCUUGAGAAAUGCUCUAGCUGCAUCUGAGCUUGAAGCAACCACAGUGUCACAAGUGCCCAUUUUUAGAUACAUGAUCGGUCCAAAUUUCUUCGCCAUGUUUGCGAGUGUGACAUGAGGCAUGGUUCCCAAGUGUGGAAGAACACCAAGAAUUGGCCAUCCUCUUGGGCCAGGUGGAAGAUUUUUAGAAGUGUUUCUAAGAAUCAAGCCUAUGAAGAAGUGUGAGAUGAAGAAGAUGAAAAUGGCAAUACCAAUAUCUCUUAGAAGAAACGCAUCAAAAGCCAUGUUGUGAUUAUAAAAUGCAAUGAUUAUAUAUUAUUUAUAUAAAGAGGGUAAAUAUUUUGGAUAUGUGACAAAGGGUUAGAAAAUUAUAGGUAGCAUUUCGAUUUUAGGGGCAAGAGUGUUAGGUGCAUAGGUUAGGUUAGUCCCACGUGCAUAACUUGUUGGAUGCAAAAUACAAAAGCUCUUAAGUAAAACAAUCUUAGAGGCUAUUUGUUUUCUUGACGUGCUAAUUUUUAUCUCAAAGUGAUGAUGUACUGAUUUUGGUAAUUCUUCCACUUAAUACUCAAA